AGAACGAACGCUGGCGGCGUGCUUAACACAUGCAAGUCCAACGUGAAAGGGGAGCAAUCCCCCGGUACGGGUGGCGAACGGGUAGGAGUAAUACAUGGGAAGUACUGUCCUCGGAGGAUGGGGAGUAUCCUUCCCGUAAACGGAAGGGUUAAGUUAACCGAACUAAUCGUCCGGGUCGGACGGGAGGUCACUUGGGGUAAAGGGGAAGGGCCGUCCUGGCGAACCAAUGCUUCCGUCCUCCGGGACGGGAGGCCCACUGGCCCGACUCAGCUAGUU
rnacentral:rRNA from 1 species